GGAGGAGUGGUAGAGUGGACGAUUACACCGCACUUGAAAUGCGGAGUCGUUGUAAAACGACCGCAGGUUCGAAUCCUGCCUCCUCCGCUA
rnacentral:tRNA from 3 species